GUAGGUGGCAAGCGUUGUCCGGAAUUAUUGGGCGUAAAGCGCGCGCAGGUGGUUCUUUAAGCCUGAUGUGAAAGCCCCCGGCUCAACCGGGGAGGGUCAUUGGAAACUGGGGAACUUGAGUGCAGGAGAGGAAAGUGGAAUUCCACGUGUAGCGGUGAAAUGCGUAGAUAUGUGGAGGAACACCAGUGGCGAAGGCGACUUUCUGGCCUGUAACUGACACUGAGGCGCGAAAGCGUGGGGAGCAAACAGGGAUUAGAUACCCUGGUAGUCCACGCCGUAGACGAUGAGUGCUAAGUGUUGGGGGGGUUUCCGCCCCCUCAGUGCUGCAGCUAACGCAUUAAGCACUCCGCCUGGGAGUACGGUCGCAAGACUG
rnacentral:rRNA from 1 species